UCAUUCUCCGCCAGGAUUCCCCCUUUCACCAUCUUUCACCAAGUCGUAUUUUCUCUCCAAUGUUGUUGUACAUGUUGUUAAUUAGAUUAGAGGAAGAGGAGCAAUUAAGGAGAAAGGAAUGGAUGAUAUUCCAUGGGGUUGUUCGAUCAUGGAUUACUCCGAUCGAGGAACUUAAAGAUAUGGCUUUGAAUCGGUUUUCAGAUCUAACCCCGGCCACGUCAACAACUCGUGUGCCUAGCUAGCCAUCUCCACAUAUCAUAGGUGAUCGAGCAGCCUAUUCCAUUCAUUCCUCCUCUACAUACGGCUCUACUACAAUUCUAAUUAAAUUAGUUUUGUUGUUGUUGUAUAAUAAUAAUUGUUCACUACUAUAUGCGGGGGGCGAUGAAGCGUCAGUGGACACCCACCCACCAUAAACAAAUCUGAUGACCAAAAAAUAAAACAAUCAUUGUCUGCCUGAGGAUAAUUGAAUUGUCUUAUGCUUAUGCUUUUGUUUGUUACUUUUUAUUUUGUGGCAGAAUCUUUGUCAUAUAUAUGCUUUUGUAUCAACAUUCUUUAAUUUAAUUUGCUCUUUUUAUU